UGGGGAAUAUUGGACAAUGGGCGCAAGCCUGAUCCAGCCAUGCCGCGUGAGUGAUGAAGGCCCUAGGGUUGUAAAGCUCUUUCACCGGUGAAGAUAAUGACGGUAACCGGAGAAGAAGCCCCGGCUAACUUCGUGCCAGCAGCCGCGGUAAUACGAAGGGGGCUAGCGUUGUUCGGAAUUACUGGGCGUAAAGCGCACGUAGGCGGAUAUUUAAGUCAGGGGUGAAAUCCCGGAGCUCAACUCCGGAACUGCCUUUGAUACUGGGUAUCUGGAGUAUGGAAGAGGUAAGUGGAAUUCCGAGUGUAGAGGUGAAAUUCGUAGAUAUUCGGAGGAACACCAGUGGCGAAGGCGGCUUACUGGUCCAUUACUGACGCUGAGGUGCGAAAGCGUGGGGAGCAAACA
rnacentral:rRNA from 1 species